rnacentral:rRNA from 1 species
CCUACGGGAGGCAGCAGUGGGGGAUAUUGCACAAUGGGGGGAACCCUGAUGCAGCGACGCCGCGUGGGUGAAGAAGCGCCUCGGCGCGUAAAGCCCUGUCAGCAGGGAAGAAAAUGACGGUACCUGAAGAAGAAGCCCCGGCUAACUACGUGCCAGCAGCCGCGGUAAUACGGAGGGGGAAAGCGUUAUCCGGAUUUACUGGGUGGAAAGGGGGCGCAGACGGCGAUGCAAGCCAGGAGUGAAAGCCCGGGGCCCAACCCCGGGACUGCUCUUGGAACUGCGUGGCUGGAGUGCAGGAGGGGCAGGCGGAAUUCCUGGUGUAGCGGUGAAAUGCGUAGAUAUCAGGAGGAACACCGGUGGCGAAGGCGGCCUGCUGGACUGCAACUGACGUUGAGGCCCGAAAGCGUGGGGAGCAAACAGGAUUAGAUACCCCUGUAGUC